rnacentral:rRNA from 1 species
AACGGCAGCACGGAGCUUGCUCUGGUGGCGAGUGGCGAACGGGUGAGUAAUAUAUCGGAACGUACCCUAGAGUGGGGGAUAACGUAGCGAAAGUUACGCUAAUACCGCAUACGAUCUAAGGAUGAAAGUGGGGGAUCGCAAGACCUCAUGCUCGUGGAGCGGCCGAUAUCUGAUUAGCUAGUUGGUAGGGUAAAAGCCUACCAAGGCAUCGAUCAGUAGCUGGUCUGAGAGGACGACCAGCCACACUGGAACUGAGACACGGUCCAGACUCCUACGGGAGGCAGCAGUGGGGAAUUUUGGACAAUGGGCGAAAGCCUGAUCCAGCAAUGCCGCGUGAGUGAAGAAGGCCUUCGGGUUGUAAAGCUCUUUUGUCAGGGAAGAAACGGUGAGAGCUAAUAUCUCUUGCUAAUGACGGUACCUGAAGAAUAAGCACCGGCUAACUACGUGCCAGCAGCCGCGGUAAUACGUAGGGUGCAAGCGUUAAUCGGAAUUACUGGGCGUAAAGCGUGCGCAGGCGGUUUUGUAAGUCUGAUGUGAAAUCCCCGGGCUCAACCUGGGAAUUGCAUUGGAGACUGCAAGGCUAGAAUCUGGCAGAGGGGGGUAGAAUUCCACGUGUAGCAGUGAAAUGCGUAGAUAUGUGGAGGAACACCGAUGGCGAAGGCAGCCCCCUGGGUCAAGAUUGACGCUCAUGCACGAAAGCGUGGGGAGCAAACAGGAUUAGAUACCCUGGUAGUCCACGCCCUAAACGAUGUCUACUAGUUGUCGGGUCUUAAUUGACUUGGUAACGCAGCUAACGCGUGAAGUAGA